rnacentral:rRNA from 1 species
GUUACUGCUAUCGGAGUUCGAGUAAGCCAUGCGAGCCUAAAGGUUUCUUUCGGGAAGCCUUGGCGGACUGCUCAGUAACACGUAGAUAACCUACCCUUAGGACUGGGAUAACCCCGGGAAACUGGGGAUAAUACCGGAUAGAUCAAGGAUGCUGGAAUGCACCUUGAUCCAAAGCUCCGGCGCCUAAGGAUGGGUCUGCGGCCUAUCAGGUUGUAGUGGGUGUAACGUACCUACUAGCCGACGACGGGUACGGGUUGUGAGAGCAAGAGCCCGGAGAUGGAUUCUGAGACACGAAUCCAGGCCCUACGGGGUGCAGCAGGCGCGAAACCUUUACAAUGUGCGAAAGCAUGAUAAGGGGACUCCGAGUGCCAGCAUCUAAUGUUGGCUGUCCUUGUGCCUAAAAAGCACAAGAUAGCAAGGGCCGGGUAAGACCGGUGCCAGCCGCCGCGGUAACACCGGCGGCCCGAGUGGUAGCCGCUAUUAUUGGGUCUAAAGGGUCCGUAGCCGGUUCGGUAAGUCCUCUGGGAAAUCUGGUUGCUUAACAAUCAGACUGCCAAGGGAUACUGCUGAACUUGAGACCGGGAGAGGUAAGAGGUACUUCAGGGGUAGGAGUGAAAUCUUGUGAUCCCUGGGGGACCAUCUGUGGCGGAGGCGUCUUACCAGAACGGGUCUGACGGUGAGGGACGAAAGCUGGGGGCGCAAACCGGAUUAGAUACCCGGGUAGUCCCAGCCGUAAACGAUGCUCGCUAUGUGUCAGGUACGGUGCGACCGUAUCUGGUGCCGUAGGGAAGCCGUGAAGCGAGCCACCUGGGAAGUACGGUCGCAAGACUGAAACUUAAUGGAAUUGGCGGGGGAGCACUACAACGGGUGGAGCCUGCGGUUUAAUUGG